CGGAAAGGAAUUUGCGCCCCCCGGAACUACGUAUCCUUUGUCCAUGUUCACCACACGGGCAUCUGUUGCAUACGGGCGCUCUGUGGGACAAGUGGAAAAGCAUUGCCGGAAACGACAGAUUAGCGGCUUUGAAGGAGCGAGCCCAGGACUCCGGGACUCAGCAGGAGCUCGGCUGGAUGUCCCGACCUUAAGAUGGGGCCCCCGCUGACCCUGUAACGGCAUCUGUGCAACCGCCGCCGGACUCACAUGAGGAAAAAUCCAACAAAAGAAGCGCAAGCUGUGGAGCUUCAUGGAGAAAAGAGCUUUGGGGGAGGCCCUGUCACUCCUACAUCUGCUGCAGUGACAGGAGGCCUGCUGAUGCAGCUGCUCUACAGGGCCCUCAAGACCCAAAAAAGCGGUCCAAAAAAAAACAAAAAAACCGCCACAUACAGGCCUGCCGGGACACCGGACUGAGACCACCAUCAGCAGCUUAUCCUCAAGACGGUUGUGGGAGUACUGGAGCCUAUCCCAGCAUUCAACGGGAAGGAGGCAGGGUAGACCCUGGAUCGGUUGCCAACCCACGCAGGCGCGGGGAGGACAUCCAAACUCCACACGGGCGGGGCCGGGAUCGAACCCUGAACUUCAGAACUGGCGAGGUGAGUCCAAGAGACGCUCGGGAUCAAGACCCCCCUCCCACAACCCCCCCCCCCCCCCCCCAACCACCAAGUCGAGCGGCAUGCAGAGUGGGGGAACGAACAGGGUGCCUAAUUGACGGCCCUUUAAAAUUCCCGCAGAGGAGUGAUGGUGCUUUUCAUGUGGGGGCCGUUCCAAUAGAGAAGAGUGACGAGUGACAAGAGCCUCCAUCGCUCUGAAAUCGAACGAAUUUGCACGUGGCUGAGUCGAGGAGCGAACGCGCGGAAUGGGAUCCUGUUUGUGAAAGAGGUGAUGUUGAAUGAACCGCUACAAAAUGGCUACCCCUCAAGAGAAGGCGCAAUGUGUUUCAUGGUUUAUUGAAACAAAAUCGGAUAGGCAGACUCAGCGAAACUACGGAACUAAGUAUGGAAGAGAUCCACCAUCAUCGUCUGUGUACAGAGGCUGCGUUAUACAGAAUAACAAAAGUGUGCUGGUUGCGCCACACGCGUUACGUCAUUUAAGGGUUUUUUUUUCGGGGGGCGUUCGAAUUGACAACAAAACGCGUCGUGUGUGGGUCAGCUGCUUGCGCCGCACGCAUUAUGCUAUUUCCGGUGGAUUUUUUUUCGGUGAGGUGGGAAUUCACAACAAAGCGUGUCGUCGGCCAGCUGGUCUGGCCGCGCGCAGUAUGUUAUUUCUGGGUUUUCUCAGGGGUGUUCGAGGACUGAUUUUCAUUCGAAAACCGAUUUGUUCGAGAAUUGAGGCUUUCCUGUAUAAUGCAUAUACAGGGAGGACGUCACAAAAUUGCAGGCUCAUUAAUUGUAGAUGCCAGUUCUUCGUGUCUGGUGUGACGUAUGAAGUUGUUUGUGUUAACAGCAAUUUUUUAAAUCAUCACGUAUCUGGUAAUUAAUGAGUUAAGCCGCAAUUGUUGUCUAAACCCGCAAAUAAAUACCGGCUCUCAUCGUUAACGCCUCUGACUCACAGUCAAUUUAUGAAGGAAUAUAUUCUGAAAGAGGCUACGACCGCACACAAAUUUACCAGGUGGAAACCUGUCUCCCCAAAUCCUUGUCAAGAACAGCGAUACAGAAAACAGACGGAAAUAUUACAGGGAGUCUGGAAGGGACCUCAGAAAGACCAAGCCGA